AAUGUUAAUUUCUGGUGGCUUUCCCCUCUCAACCGAACCCUCUCAUCCUCUCUAACCCUCUUCUUCUUCAAACUUGAUUUUUGAGAAGAAAGCUUGAUUUUUAGCUUGGUUUGGAAGCUUGAUUUGUGUUGGAUGCUUGGAGCUUGUUUGAGCAAGAGAUUAAGGAUUACCGGCACCUGGUCAGGAGCACCCGGGGAUUCAGAAUCUCUGCCUUUGCGGGACAACAGGAAAGGGUAAGUCAGUGGCUGAUCAACCAUGAGUUUGAGGAGCAAGAUGAAGAAUGUACAUGUUCAAGCCAUAUCAGACCAAGCGGGUUAAGGGUCUAUCAGUGAUGAACUUUUGAAUUCUAUUUUGCCGUUUAGG